rnacentral:lncRNA from 1 species
UUGUAUUUUUUUUUGGGUGUCCCUAUCCUGGGAAAAUCAAUAAAUGCAGGAAGGGGAUAUGGACUUGGAAUGGCUAUCAAUAUUUGUUGAAGACUGCUUAUCCAGCUCUGGAAAUUGCCUACCAAUUUUACCCCCUCAAAUUGCUCAGAACAAGACUACCAUUAUUAGCACUGCCAGACUGCCAGUGAAGCAGACCCCUCAAAGCCAUUGAAAUUGGUGGAAUCCCAAAUAAGCCCAUCAUCAUCAAGUAUCCUGCA